CCCUGGUUAGCUCAGUUGGUAGAGCGCUCCACCUGUAAUGAGAGGUCCCGGGUUCGAUACCCGGACAAGGCG
rfam:Ixodes scapularis strain Wikel colony gcontig_1108378751888, whole genome shotgun sequence.